AGCACGGAAAUCAGUCGUCAGGUCAGUGUUGGGUCCUGUGGUGGUGACCAAGGUCACACAUAUUCCACUGGUUGCCAGGCAGGCCCAUUGUGAUGAGGCACAUCUGAAAUCAAGUGAGGAAGACCAUGGAUCUGCAGUGAGUGUUACAGAAUUCUUACCUUGAUGUAGAGUCAUUGAUGUACCACAAGGGACUGCAGUGACAGAGUCAGGCACUCUGCAUCUCCUCCUGAUCUCAUGAAGGUAGAUCACAGUGACACUGAGAGAGUGCAGGUGACUUGCUGUGAACAGGAGAUGGUGCUGAAGUGCUCAUGAUCAGCUGAGGCAUUUCCAGGAAACCAGCAGAUUGUCCAAAAGCCUGUCAAGAUAAAUGAUUUAUAAUUAAGCAGCAGGAUGUGAAAAAGAUUGCUCAGCUGAAGGCAGCAACUCAAAGACUGGGUACCAUGAGCUUUCUGGAGGAAAACCAGAAGCUAGCUCAGGUUUGAACCACAAGAGAAUUUUGCUGCAGCAGAGUACCUGCACUCAAUGGUGUGUGUAUUCUCAGAAGUGAAUGUCUCUGUGGCUCCUUUCCUCAGACCUGAGUUCCUUUCCAAAGCAAAAGUUAAUGUGCCAAGGAGUGAUUUCAGAAUUUGUUCAGCACAACCAGUACAGCUAGAGGACAUUUGGCGUGUCACUCAACAAAAAUCAAACAGCUCUGCUCAAGGAGACAAAGGACAUUGAAUCUCUGGAUAUCUGCCUUCCAUUCCAGUGUCUUCCUUCUGGAAAAGUCCAUCUCCUUUCAGCCAGAGUCUCCUGGACCCAUUCAGAGAGAAGAGGACACAAGAACACAGGAGCUGCUUCAAAGAGCCUGAGCCUCCCUGUGUUUCCUGAGCCACCACAUGCACUGGGGAUGCUGGACAAAGCUCAUUUCACUUCCACAAGCACAUGGUCCCACCCCACACAGUGAAGAUGUCUCAGAGCUCCUGAGCCCUCCCAGCAAUGCUCCCAGCUCCCCACUCAGCUCCCAGCUUUAGUCAGGAUAGGGGUAUUUCCAUCACACAAUUACUGCUGCAGCUUCACAAAUUCGAUGAUGUUGUGUAUUUGGUUUGACGUCAUUCCAGUUGUUGAGAGUUGGUUCAGACACAUAGAUUACAGUGCAGUUCUCAUCAUGGCCUGGACUUGGUUCUCCUUCUCGCCAGAACCUGGGACACAGACAGGCUUGUUACUCCCCAGGGACCACUGUAAAAACACUGCUGGAAAAGGCCACAGCAGGAUGCAAGAAUUGAAGGGAACAGACAGAAAUUCCCAAUGCUGAUUCGUGGACUGAAGCAGUGCCCUUCCUCCCACUCCAUAUCCCACUGGCACCAGUGUCACAUGGAAACCUGCCUCCUUCUCACAGCCUUCCAGCACAACAGGGCCCUGCUCCAUCCUGCUAGGGGGAACUUAUCACCACCACUCACCCCAUGCACCUCACUCCCUGCAGAGGCCAGUGCUGGCCUCCAGGGCAAGUUUGUUCUCCAGAAGAAGGCACAGCAAGGAAAGUCCUGGUGCUCUCUCGCCCUGUGCCCCAUCUCUUUCCCUGCAUUUCAGUAGAGGCCAUUUUGUGCACAUAAGUGCAGUGCAGGCCAGGCCAGGCAAGUUAUAUAUUAAGGGCACUUGCUGAUGGCAAGAUGCAGCUUUUUCUACACCUACAUCAAUGAUUUUGAUGUCACAGGUAGUUAUUUCAUAAUAAAUAUCCAGCACAGAUGGGGCCAGGUGAACCUGGUGUCCUACACAGCCCUCUCCUGCUUUAUCUCUGAUCUCCCACAAGGAAGCAGAGUGACAACCCCCUCUCAUGCACCUGCAUCUUACAUACUUUUUUUCGCUACCAGGAGUCACAUCAAACACUCCUCAGCCAGAAAUACUCACGCUGCUGUCACAUUGUAUGGAGUCUUGUCCACCCACUGCCACUGGCCCACCUUAUCUUCAAACAGACCAAUGUAGAAAUUCACUCUGUUUGGAGUUUGUUUUGUUUGCUCAGAGAGGAAAUCCUGGCAAUCAGAGAGAAAGUGCAAUGUCCAUGAGAGGCAGAACUGAGCACAGAGAGGCAUCAGGAAUCCACAUGGGAUGGGGCUGGUGGCAGAGGGGGCUGGUGCUGCAGAGGUGCAGACAGGACCUUCCCCCUCCCCUGCAGGACAAGGAGGGGCUCUGAGUCCCCUCCAGGGCCCAGCACUGUGCCUCUGCCUGCUGGGUCCCUCUCUCAGCCCUGUGCACUCACCUGCUCUGCCUUGCUGCUGAUCACCACCAGCUGGGAGCCCAUCCCACUGCAGUUCUGUGCACUCUUAACACAAUUCAACUUAUCAGUGGAUAGGAAAUAGCAGCUUCCUUGAAACCUUCUCCAGCCCUUUGGGCAGCACGUCCAGCCUCGGUCUGUGCAGGGAGAGGACAGAGAGAUGAAGGCUACUAACAAGAGAUGGUGAGUGCAGAGAUCCUGGUUUUCCAGGGACAGUGCUCAUGUCCUGCUCAGUGACUUUUCCUGAGAGAAAUGGAUUGAAUAAACAGGGAGAGUACAGACAUUUCUUCCCAUUGCUUUGGGGUAUGACCAGUGAGCUUUGUGUACCCAAACCCAUGGUAAUCCCAGUAAGGGGAUCUCAGGUCUCUGCAAAGUUCUCUUGGGGAUGGGCUUUGACUUGCCCUGCUACAGCCUCCUUGAGGCCCUUAGCCCCAAGGAAGAGGGGCCAUUCGAGCACUGACCUGUGCCUUGUGGCACCGCUGAGUUGCACUCCCACUGCAAGAACUGCUGCUGCAGGGCUGAGGGCUGGGCACUGCUGUGGCACAAGGGAAGCACUGCAAAGGGAGAGCAAAGGCAGCAGGAUUAGCCCUUGCUCCCAGCUCCUCACACAGCAUCUCUGGCCCCUUGACUCUCCUUCCACCAUCUCCCCAGCAAGCAUUGUCCCAGCUGUCACCUCUCCUGGCCCACACCAGUGGCACAGCUGCCUUCCCAGCCAGAAAGAGACCGUCUGCCAGGUCAGACAGCAGAGGGACCCCUGGAAGCACAUCCCACUGGGGACACCCCACACCCACGGCAGGAGUGAGCCCUCCCAACCAUAGCCCAGCUGCCAUGCACAGACCCACAGCCCAGCUGCCAGUCUACAAAGCAGCCUCUCAUUGUCACCCUUUGUCCCUUCCUCAACUGUACAGCAACAGGCACAGGAGGAGUCACCCUCAGCUGGGCCUGUUCCAUCAGCAACACACAGCCCAGGUGAAGGGAACCACUUACAGAUGGAGCUGCUGAAACCAGGGUGCAGCAGAAAGCCCUAGGACUUACUAGCUCCAGUUUGUGGGCAAGAAGGCACUCUUGCUGACAGGCCACAGCCACAAUCCCAAGGAUUUUAAAGUGACUCAGACAUUCAGGAGUAUGGAUUAGGAGCUGAUGAGGGUGUGCUUAACCAUCCAGAUGCCUAUGUUCAUCAAUCAUUUAAAUUAGAACUUUUUUCACUUAUGAGCAGAAAAUACUAGUGGUUCUAGUGCCUGAUUAGUGAAUGGCUGUAAUGGAGGAAGCUCAGAGGAGCUGGGCAAGGGCAAAGCCUGGCUGACCACCCCCAUUGCCAAUAAGUGUGCUCUAUCUCUACCCGAAGUAAAAGGAUUAUAAGAGAUUUGGCUUUUAGUUUUGUUCAGCUGAGGGAAUUGACCAGAUGUGGAAGCAUUCAUUCCCUUAGAGAUCAAAAGGAGGGCAAUGUUUUCCUAGUUAGCCAAACCAGCACAGCACAAGUGGGUACCUUAGUACAAAAUGGUAUGAGAGACUGAAUGACUAACAAAAACAUACCUGAAGAAAGCAACGGGUCUGAGCUGGCUUUAACUUCCCUAUUUUGUCUUGGUAUUUGGGGACAUUCAAUGUCUUGAUGUGAAGCAUACUGCAGAACUAUGUCUUAUUUGGACCCCUCAUAAUGAGAAGGAUAUUGAAGUGUUGGAGCAUGUCCAGAGAAGGGCAGUGGAGCUGGGAAUGGGUCUGGAGCACAAGUCCUAUGAAGAGCAGCUAAAGGAGUUGGUGCUGUUUAUCCUGAAGAAAAGGAUGCUCAUGAGUGACCUUAUAGCUCUCUACAACUCCCUGAAAGGAGGUUGUAGCCAGGUGGGGGUCAGACUCUUCUCCCAGGUAACAACUAGCAGGACAAGAGGAAAUGGUCUGAAGUUGUGCCAGGAAAGAUUUAGAUUGGAUAUUAGUAAAAGCUUCUUCACUAAAAGGUGGCCAAGCAUUGGAACAGGCUGCCCAGAGAAUUGUUGGAGUCACCAUUUCCGGUAGUGCUCAAAAGACAAGUAGAUGUGGCACCUGGAUACAUGGUUUAGUGAUGGGCUUGGCAGUGGUUGGUUAGCAGUUUAACAACAUGACCUGUCUUUUCCAACAUUAAUGAUUCUAUCAUUCCAUGUUUGUAUGACCAGCAAUUAAAAUCAUGUUUGUAUUGUGAUCCACCUGUGCAUUGCAGUGGCCACUCUCAGCUGCAAGCAAUUUGUAGUGGUGUUUCCUUUAAAUGUUGUAUUGCUAUGCUAAACCAAAAUCCUGGGUAGCAUAAAUUAACUUGGAUAAGUAAAAUUUCACUAAAAAUUAAACCUUCCAUGUGUAUCAGAAGGUAUCAGAUGCUAACAUCCCAGCCUAAAACUCCCCAACCAUUCGCCUGAGUACCAUGAAAGGUUAUACAUUUGGGAACAAAGCAAUACAAAUGUCUGGGACUCAGAUGCUAAGGGCAGCCUAAGGAAAAGCAGUGAUUUAUUGUAAUGAGAUGCCUCUUCCAGAAUCCAUUGUGCUUAUUGGCGAUUUGUGCAAAUAUGUCAUGAAUUAUCUUUAAUAGAAAAUGAGAAUGAAAUAGUGAUCACAAUCUUUACAAACAGAUUGUCCAGGAAUAACCUCUAAUGAACUAUUCUGCAAUCAACCCUAAAAAGCUGUGAGAGUUAAUUAACUGCACAAUGCAGGUAAUCCUGGAGAUGCCAGGACUGUGAGAAACCAUUUUUUUUCCACUAGGACACAAAGCAUAUCCAAGUACCUUAGAGAGCCUAAGUGCAGAUUCAGCUGCUUGUAUAGACACUUGUGCCUCUGUUUCCACUUUUUCCCAUCUGUCAAAUGUAACUGAGUUCUUUUUGUGGGGAAUGAGGGUAGAGAAUUGUUCCACAGUUCCAAAAAGACCAUGCAAGAUUGGAAUGUACAAUCUGGGCACACUGACGAGGCCUCAGGGUAAACAGUGGAAGAUUUGGGGGAUGUAUGCAGGCAUAUACAAAGUCAGGGCAGGAAAAACUGAGACCUUACACAAAGCCCAGACAACCAUGAAGCAUGGUUUCUCUACUUUUCUCCCAGACCUCUCCCUUGUAAUCUCCUUGCACAUACUCACCAAGGAGGAUGACAACAAGGGCAAUGCACACCAAGAGAAGUAGCAGUGAGAUCAACCAUGGCAGCCAGAGUGGGUACUUCUGGGGAUGUUGCUCAGGCUUCUUUGUCUCAGGGGGUCCUAAAAGUGACAGAAACACAACAAAUAAAACACUACAGUCAACUAUGGGUCUGUCAGUCCACAGUCCACAUACCAAGGAUACUCAAGGGAGAGCCCCUCAAAAGAAAAAAAAAAUUCAUUUCUGACAUGGAAGUUACAAGGUUUAGGAGGACAGACUGGGACAGAGUAGGGAAUGUCUGUGGUUUCUGGAGAAAAGUCAAAUUCAGUAAGUGUGUUCCCAGCCCAGCCAGUGAGCCAACAAUGAUAACUGUUGGUGUUUGGAGGUGAGCCCUUCACAGGGCCUCAAAAACUACAGUGAAACAAUGUCUUUCUAGAUUGAGCCCAAAGCUGCUAAAUGCAACAUUGCUCAAACCGUGAUACUUAAGACAUAAGGGAAGAUUUCAUGUUGACUUCUUCCCAGAAAACUUUUCCUGUCUUCUUCAGUUCCUUUAGCUUUUUGAACUUCCUGUGCAGAAGAUUGGUGUAAUCUGAGUGAGGAUUGUGUAAAGCUGUGAUCGCACAUCAUCAUUGGGAGAUUGAAAGACAUAUUUUCCCUUCCAUCUCUGCUUUCCAAGUCAGGAUUCAAAGAUUUGCUGUAAUAAAACUAGGUUGUGCUAGGCUGGAUAUUUGGGGAGAGCAGAAGGCUGUGUCCAGAAGCCUGAGUAAAGUACUCAGAUAAAGAUUUUCCAGGACCUCGCUUUUGUCUAGAGGGAUACUGCCAGUACUGAGGAGGCUUGGGAGCAGGCAGGAGAGUGGGUCACAGGGAAGGAGAAGCAAACAUGCGUUAGGGGAUUGUUCUAGCUUGUGGCAGGUACACAAGCCAGGGCAAAUAGGAGGGUAAAGAGACAACAGCACUCACUGCAGGCCAGAAAUAAAGAAACUUUGGGAGAGACUACUAUUAAAGAUAAGAUUUAGAGAGCCUUCAUUCAUUGUUCUGUAUGAAGCUCCCAGGUCCGUCAGCAGUCAAGUGUGCCUGCCAGACAUGCCUAGUAAGCAAGAUUGUAAGAAACCUGCUCUUUGUGGAAGCCUUCUGACUACUUCCCAAAGGCUUGGGAGAGACUGCUACUGCAGGGGAAAAGGUAUGAUCUUUCAUUAUGUGGAGAGAAAAUAUGUGUGGAUAGAGAAGGUCCGGGUUUCUCCAGUCAAAUAAUGUUUUUCUAGCCAGCUUUUGCCUUAGUGAAAACAAGGAGCCUCCUCAAGAGCUAGAGUUGAACCACCUACUUCAGAAAUAGCUCUAACCAAUUCAACUGAUUUUUUUGAUAUGCAGCACAUCCAGAGAUUGUUCAACCUGUGCGCAGUCAGACCCGGGUGGCACAGGGAGCACCGCAUGCUGUGCACCUCAGCAACACAACUGAAGUGCAGUAAUCUCGUGCACACUUGAUGGGUUGAACUCCCUGCAAAAUGCUUUCCACAGCUGGUCUGUGCUCUGUAACAUGUCCAGCAUGAUCACAACACAACAGUCUUGAUGCCUUUGGAAUAAUCAUUUGGAACACAAUGGGGAACUUCCACCACCCCCACCUCACCACUGUGGAAAUGCUAACUACAUCCAGAGCCAACUAAUCUUGGUGCACUGAAAACAGUGAUCUUUCAAGAUAGACAGGACUAUGUACACUAUUUAUUUCCAUGACUCAUGCCUCAGAGCAAGCCAGGAAUAACCUGGAGCUGAUGCCUGCUCUGUUUGGGAUUGUAAAACUAAGAUAAAGCUGUAAAUAGGCAAGCUAUUAUAUAUACUUAGACAGCAGUAAUUAUUUAUUUAAUUAAAAAUAUUUUUUAUUGAUUUAUGUACACAUACAUUUCCUACUCUGGAACCUGCUGUUGUGUAGGGUCCUGCAUGUCAGGCAAAAGCAGCCUUACAUAGAACAUCUCUAUGGGUUUCUACUUGUGGAAUAAUGACUACAGAGUACAUAUUAACCAGAAUAUGCCUUAAAUUUGCACGAAGUCUAGUAAAAGACUAGACUUUAAUAGGAAAAAAAAAUUGUUUGUUUGGUAUGUUAAAUGUUUUUCAGGAGUGGCAGACAUCUAUAACAGAUUUGGAUCUCCCUCCAGAUCUUAAAUAAUUCUUCUUCUGUAUUUAAGUUUUGGGUUUCUCUUCUUCAAGGACCAUUUCUCAAUCAGCCAUGGACAGUGGGGCUAUGUUUCUGCAGCCAGUACCACUUCUCAUGAAGGUGCAGAGUACAACUGACUUCUCUUCUAUAAGCAGGCAUGUUGAUUCUCCUACCCUCUCCACAAGCACCAAUCUGUAGUCUCACUCAGAGGCAAGAGCAGCCAGGACUUGGGCUUAUUUGCUGCUUUGGGAGCCCUUCCACCUUUGUGACAGAUCAGAUUGUUUUUAAUAAACCACAGUCUCUACUGCUGGUACUCAGCAUGGUCCAACAAAUUACUCUUUCAAGACCACAUAACAUGUAGGGUACUGAGGGAGCACAAACAGGCUCCUUAAUGAAUGCUCAUUUGAAACCUACUGUCUGUGCUCCCGGUAGUCGUUCAUGUUGUAACUCCCAUUCGCCUUUCCUCUUGGAGAUGUUCCUCAAAACUCUUAUUUCAAAAGUCCUUCAGUCUCCUGAUCAUUUAGCUCGUUUUUCUCACCAAUCCAAGAUCACGUAGGAACCAAAGUCACACAAGGAAAAAUCCUCAUUCCCUCUUCUUCAGCCCUGCUCCCCCCAGCUCCCUUUCUCCCAAAUAUCCCAUUCAUUCCUUACCUUUGACCACUGGAGCCGAUGAGUCAUUUUUGAACUUCACCUCAGCAUAGGUGAUUUCUGAUGCCAUUUAAUCGCAGUGUGACCCUGUCCUUAGUUUUGCCACAUAAAAGGUGGGCCUUUUAGCUCCUUUUUUCCAGAGGGUGACAGGAAUCGGUUACUGAGCCUUUCCCAUCCAUUCAUUCACUCUCUACCCAUCAAAGAAGACUGUGCUGAACACUGGAAGAACUGGUGAUAACCUGAGAAUUCCUGAGAGCUCAGAAAUGCUCCAAAGAGAUCUUCAGUUUCUUAGCCCAGGAAAUCAGCCCUGGCACCACGGAAGAUUUUGAGACAUAAAAGAAAAAUGAGAACCUAACAACUGAAAAGGAAGUUGCACUCCUUCCCCAUAUCAGAUUCUCAGCUGAUAGGCUUCCUUUUCAAGACAUUUAUAGGGUUUUUUCCUCUUUUUAACUUUCUUUCUUAACUAUCUCCCCAUAUUUUCAUGUGUUUCUUUGUCUGCUAGUAAUUCUACCAUUGCUCUCAUGUUUGCAUCUAUCAUAGGUUCUAGCCCAGUUUAACCUGCAGUCCAGAACAAAAUGCAUUCUGCCCUAUUUCCCCUUGUGGUUAAGCUGCAUUUGCUACAUCAAAUGUCACAGCUAUGUCUCAUUCUUCAAAGUCAGCCCUGGCUGGAAGCUAGCACUAGAACAAAUCUCAGACUAGGAAAUGUUCCUGUAGAAGUGAGACUGGGGAGUUGCAGCCUUAGACAGUGCAAUAAAAAUAAUCAGAAGAUUGGUAUAUCCAUGAAGAAACAGAAAGAUCAGGUGGGAGUCAGAGAGGAGAACAAGCAAAGUGGAAUUUUAAAAAACAUAUGUUGAUGGUCUGAGAGAUUAUUGGGAAGAGUAGACACAAAAACUUUUCUAUUAAAACCUGAUUCACAGCCUGUGCAAGUUCAGAGCAGGGCAGGCUCCAUUUCAGAGGCUGAAAAAGGAUGGUUUACAUUUUUCUCCUAUUUUUCCAACACUGUCAUUUAUCUCCCUUAUCUGCUUUGUGGUAAAAACCUCUGAUAUCACCUUGAGCAAAAUGUCAGUGCUUAGUCUGAUUUCAAGCGGGAGCAGAUCCUGAAAGGAGACAAGGGAAAUGGCUGCUGAGAGACAUUCUAAAUCAGAAAUACUUCUGGGAACAGAUGCCAAUAAGUCAGGCAGGGUGAGGAGGGUUCAGUCAGCAGAUAGCACUAAGGUUUGGGUUGGAAGGGACCUUCAACGACUACCUUCUCCAGACCACCUGCCAUGGGCGAGGACAUCUUUCACUACAUCAGGCUGCUCAAAGCCCCUUCUAACCUGGCCCUAAACAUUUUCAGUUAAGGGGAAUCUCCAACUUCUCUGGGCAAUCUGUUUCAGCAUCUCAGCACCCUCAUGGUAAAUUAUUUCUUCCUUAUAGCUAAUUUAGAUCUGGCUUUUUCAGUUUAACUCCAUGACCCCUUAUCUUAUCACUACCAGUUCCAUUAAAAGGACUCUCUCCAUCUUUCUUAUAAGUCCCCUGUAAAAGCCUGAAAAAAGCCACAACAAGGUCUCCAAAACAAACAGUGGGAAGAAGCUGGUUAGUAUGGCUAGCUGGAAUUCCCUUAAGGCAGAGCAGAAUGAGAUGCUCACAGGACAUGCAGAGAGCACAGAGGGUAACCAGAGCAGAGUUGGAGCUGAGAUAGGGCAGUAGAAGGAAGAACAUGCACCAGACAAUAGAGAACAACAAUGUGGCAGAAGGUAAUCUGAACACACUUUAUGGAGACCUGCCCCUAAGCAGAGUGAGGCAGUAACUGGAUGUCUUUACCAAGGAUCUUCUUUGUGUCUUGUGUGUCCUGAGCUAACUUUACUUCUCCUUUAUGUAUUGUGUACAAAGAAGGUGACUUUCACACAAGAAUAAGAACAGCUACAGAAGAGAAACCUCGUCCCUCAAGCAAGCAUGCUGCCUGCUUCUCUUUCCAACAUCCUUCCAGCACUACCCUUUGUCUUCAGUCUUGGCCCUCUCACUGGAAUUAAGCCUCCCUAAGUCUCUGCUGAAAUCUAGUUAAGCCCUCAAAUUCCAGAGAAUUGAAGUUGAGAACUCAGAGCAACCCUCUGCAUGCUUCCCCUUGUCCCCACCCAAGCCUCAGCAGACCCAGUCUUAUGGGAAAAAGACUUACUUCCUUGCAGGGUUUCAAGAUUUCCACAGUGAAGAAACAGGAAACACAAUCAGCAGACAGAGAAGGAAGUUACAGAGCAGCUUCAUGAGCUUUUUCCACUGAAACGCAUCUCCAAACACAGCUGAGGCAUUUCAAAUGCAAAUUCAGGCUCUAGCUGCUCCUUUUAUUAGAUUACACUGCACUGAAACAUCAGUAGACAGCUCAAUUCUUCUUUGUCAGCCAUCAGAGUUGUUGCUUGUUAUCAAAAUUCAACACUGAAUCAUACUUCCACAGCAUGCAGUGCUGAGCCAAUGUGUAACAACAAUCACGUGAUA